UUACGCCUAUUUAGCCCUAUUAAGAUGU
rnacentral:sRNA from 1 species